GACCGCGUAGCUCAGUUGGCAGAGCAUUGGGCUAGUAUUCCAAAGGUCGUAGGUUCGAUUCCCACCGUCGUCA